CUAAAUUAAGUAUGUAGAAAACAAUUAGAUGUUUUAAAUUAUGUCAAUCAUAAAUGGUAUUAUUGCUUAUUAUGGCACCCAUCUUGCUUUUAAUGUUAAUAGAUAUUUAUGUAUACCUGGCUUUCAAAUGUUUAGAUUUGAGCUUGGUUGAUGAAGGAAAAUUCAAAAAAGCACUUCUGACGCACAAAAUAUAUAGUGUUAUUUUAGUUUAUAGCCUUAUCUUACUCCACACCCUGUUUAUCCCUAGCUAUCAAAUGUUUAGGUUUGAUUGUCGAAGUUGAAGGUUAAAUCCAAAAAAGCACUACUUAUGCAAGAAAUAUAUGAAUUUUUAUUUUCAUUCAUAAUGAAAAUUUAAAUCUUCUGCAACUGUCUCCACACUCUAUGCUUAGCUAUCAGUACUGCAGAUGCAGUUGAUACAUGUACAACAAGGAACAUAAUCUGCUGUACGUUAUUGCAAAGCCCAUUGUACUGCAAAGGUAAUUUGAAACUUGGACAGAAAUCGGCUGUGCACCAACAUCUCAGUCAUGGUUCAUUGACUUUGAAUAUUUGCAUAACUUGUGUAAGAUGUUGCUAUUUUAAUUUCAACAUUUGCACAAUAGAAAUUACAAAAAAAGGCAAGACAUAUUUAUGUAAUAACAGUUUAUAUUUUGUUCAAGUACUGUAGAUUCAGUAAUCUUCAUGGUUACCAAUUUACUUGGAUUAGG
rnacentral:lncRNA from 1 species